GAUAGAGGUUGCGUAUUUCAUAAGUACGGUGACGGAUGUCUCAGGGACAGAUGAACUCGCCGGAAAGGGGAAUACGCCGAAAGAUCGGGACUCCUGAAAUCCCGUUCUUGGGCAUGACGCGAACAGCGGCAUGACUGUCAUCGCAGGAUGGAGAGCUAUCUGA
rnacentral:ncRNA from 1 species